rnacentral:rRNA from 1 species
AUCGGUCUGCACCUAAGAGAUUAGGCGUUCCCUUCGGGGACAGAAUGACAGGUGGUGCAUGGUUGUCGUCAGCUCGUGUCGUGAGAUGUUGGGUUAAGUCCCGCAACGAGCGCAACCCUUAUUACUAGUUGCCAGCAUUCAGUUGGGCACUCUAGUGAGACUGCCGGUGACAAACCGGAGGAAGGUGGGGACGACGUCAAAUCAUCAUGCCCCUUAUGACCUGGGCUACACACGUGCUACAAUGGAUGGUACAACGAGUUGCGAAACCGCGAGGUUUAGCUAAUCUCUUAAAACCAUUCUCAGUUCGGACUGUAGGCUGCAACUCGCCUACACGAAGUCGGAAUCGCUAGUAAUCGCGGAUCAGCAUGCCGCGGUGAAUACGUUCCCGGGUCUUAAAACACACCGA